rnacentral:rRNA from 1 species
CCAGACUCCUACGGGAGGCAGCAGUGGGGAAUAUUGCACAAUGGGGGGAACCCUGAUGCAGCAAUGCCGCGUGGGUGAAGAAGCACUCCGGUGCGUAAAGCCCUGUCAGCAGGGAAGAAAAUGACAGUACCUGACCAAGAAGCCCCGGCUAACUACGUGCCAGCAGCCGCGGUAAUACGUAGGGGGCGAGCGUUGUCCGGAAUGACUGGGCGUAAAGGGAGUGUAGGCGGCAAUAUAAGUUAGAUGUGAAAUCCCGCGGCUCAACCGCGGAACUGCAUCUAAAACUAUAUAGCUGGAGUGCAGGAGAGGUGAGUGGAAUUCCUAGUGUAGCGGUGGAAUGCGUAGAUAUUAGGAGGAACACCAGAGGCGAAGGCGACUCACUGGACUGUAACUGACGCUGAGGCUCGAAAGCGUGGGGAGCAAACAGGAUUAGAUACCCGUGUA